UUGGCCAAUCAAAAAAAGGUGUCUUGUCUGGACGUCAUUAGCAUGUGGGUCUGUGAAUAGAGCGGGCGCGAGGCGGGCGCCAGUCAUUCUCUGUUCGUUUAUUCGAGAAGCAGCAUUAUGCCAGAUCCAGCUAAGACCGCGCCCAAGAAGGGAUCAAAGAAAGCCGUGACCAAGACGGCCGGCAAAGGAGGCAAGAAGCGCAGAAAGUCUAGGAAGGAGAGCUACGCCAUCUACGUGUACAAGGUCCUGAAGCAGAUGGAGGUUCGGACAUCUGUGAGUCAUUCUGUGAGGAUGGGAGUUCACAUGUAGAUGGUGAGUAGUGUUUUUAUUUUGUGAGUGCUUUUAAUGAAGGCUCAUUGCAUAGUGGGGUUUUGGUAGUCAGAUUUCACUGUUAGCACUUCAGUACACAUGCACUACGUUUACAUGAACAGCAGUAAUCUAAUUAUUGACCUUAUUCUGAAUAAGAUAACAUUGUGAUUAAGGUGUUUACAUGAGUCGCUUUUAGAAUACUCCUCUCAUGUACCCGUUUUACAUGUUAUAGAUCAUAGAUGGAUUAACGGCACGUCAUUCAACAUACAGUUGGUCUUCGUUAUGGUACCAUAUACAGUCUGGGGUGUUAUUUUUAAUUUUUACGAAAGCUUCCAGUGCAGUUAAUUAUUUGUCAUGCUGUACGUGCAAAUAGAUGACUGCUUGAAGCCACUAGCUAGAUAGCUACUAACCCGUGUAACCUCGCUUGUCAUUUCUUUUCCCACAUAUAGCCCUCUUUUUUUAAUCUUCCCAUAUUAGUUAAAACAAAGUAUUUUUAUUGGUCUAGCCUAAUGAAGUUCCUCAGCUGUAGGUGUUUUAAUCAGCGGAAAUAGUGACACAUCUCUGCUGAAAACCAUAACAGAAAUUCUAAUGGAUUCCACUACAAAUACCAUUACAAACCUUAAAAACCAUUACCAAAUUUCAAAGGUGUUCUAUUGGUCCUUAAUGGUACCCCCUAGACAUAACAUGCCACCAAUAAACGGCAACAAAUUACCAUUAGAGGUCCUAAGGGACCAUUACAGAUUCCAUUAAAACCAAUGCAAUUCCCAUUAAAACCAUUACCAAAUUCUAUAAGGGUUUCUGUUGUCAAAACAAAGCAUUUUUUAUCAGUCUAGCCUGCAGAUCGGCCUCAGCCGCCUGACACAACGCAUGAACCUCGAA